rnacentral:rRNA from 1 species
GACUAUCAUUCCAAGGGGAAACAGGGAUUGCCUCAGUAACGGCGAGUGAAGCGGCAACAGCUCAAAUUUGAAAUCUGGCCUCUCGGGGUCCGAGUUGUAAUUUGUAGAGGAUGUUUCGGGUACCGCCCCGGUUUAAAUUUCUUGGAACAGAAUGUCAAAGAGGGUGAGAAUCCCGUCUUGGACCGGCGGUAGGGCCUAUGUAAAACUCCUUCGACGAGUCGAGUUGUUUGGGAAUGCAGCUCAAAAUGGGUGGUAAAUUUCAUCUAAAGCUAAAUAUUGGCCAGAGACCGAUAGCGCACAAGUAGAGUGAUCGAAAGAUGAAAAGCACUUUGAAAAGAGAGUUAAACAGUAUGUGAAAUUGUUGAAAGGGAAGCGCUUGCAACCAGACUUGUACGCGGUGGUUCCUCUCGCCUUUUGGCGCGGGUACUCCGUCACGUUCAGGCCAACAUCGGUUUUGGGGGCCAGUCAAAGGCCUUGGGAAUGUACCUACCCACGGGUAGACUUAUAGACCAGGGUGUCAUGUGGCCUCCCGGGACCGAGGAACGCGCUUCGGCUCGGAUGUUGGCGUAAUGGUUGUCAGCGACCCGUCUUGAAACACGGACCAAGGAGUCUAACAUCUAUGCGAGUGUUUGGGUGUCAAACCCGGAACGCGGAAUGAAAGUGAACGGAGGUAGGAAGCUUCGGCUGCACUAUCGACCGAUCCUGAAGUUUACGGAUGGAUUUGAGUAAGAGCGUACAUGCUGGGACCCGAAAGAUGGUGAACUAUGCCUGAAUAGGGUGAAGCCAGAGGAAACUCUGGUGGAGGCUCGCAGCGGUUCUGACGUGCAAAUCGAUCGUCAAAUUUGGGUAUAGGGGCGAAAGACUAAUCGAACCA